UACGUAGGGUGCGAGCGUUGUCCGGAAUUAUUGGGCGUAAAGAGCUUGUAGGUGGUUUGUCGCGUCUGCUGUGAAAAUCCGAGGCUCAACCUCGGACUUGCAGUGGGUACGGGCAGACUAGAGUGUGGUAGGGGAGACUGGAAUUCCUGGUGUAGCGGUGGAAUGCGCAGAUAUCAGGAGGAACACCGAUGGCGAAGGCAGGUCUCUGGGCCAUUACUGACA
rnacentral:rRNA from 1 species